rnacentral:rRNA from 1 species
UAGGGAAUCUUCCUCAAUGUGCGAAAGCCUGACGGAGCAACGCCGCGUGAGUGAUGAAGGUCUUCGGAUCGUAAAACUCUGUUUUUAGGGAAGAACAAAUGUGUAAGUAACUAUGCACGUCUUGACGGUACCUAAUCAGAAAGCCACGGCUAACUACGUGCCAGCCGCCGCGGUAAUACUUAGGUGGCAAGCGUUUUCCGGAAUCAUUGGGCGUAAAGCGCGCGUAGGCGGUUUUUUAAGUCUGUUGUGAAAGCCCACGGCUCAACCGUGGAGGGUCGUUAGGAACUGGAAAACUGGAGUGCAGAAGAGGAAAGUGGAAGUCGUUGUGUAGCGGUGAUAUGCGCAGAGAUAUGGGGAAACACCAGUGGCGAAGGCUACUUUCUGGUCUGUAACUGACGCUGAUGUGCGAAAGAGUGGGGAUCAAACAGG